rnacentral:rRNA from 1 species
UACGUAGGGUGCGAGCGUUGUUCGGAAUUAUUGGGCGUAAAGGGCGCGUAGGCGGUGCGGUAAGUCACCUGUGAAACCUCUAGGCUUAACCUAGAGCCUGCAGGCGAAACUGCCGUGCUUGAGGGUGGGAGAGGUGCGUGGAAUUCCCGGUGUAGCGGUGAAAUGCGUAGGUAUCGGGAGGAACACCAGUGGCGAAGGCGGCGACCUGGGCCAAUACUGACGCUGAGGUGCGAAAGCGUGGGGAGCAAAAGGG